CAAACCAGAAGGCCACUGUUUCCUCAAAAGUUCAAAACCAUUGGUUUCAAUGGUUUUGAGAAGGAGGCGUUGUUUUCUAUCAAAGCAGUCUUUGUAGAACUCUCAUCUUGUGCUAUAAAAGGCGUUCAUACCCGGUUCUCUAAUCACGUAUAGCUUUAGGUUCUGAUUAAGAAAAAUGGUGAAAGACGUGAGUCCUGGGGCCAUGAUGAUAUGAAAGAAGAUGACUAUAGGUCUCCAGAGACUGACUGUGGCUCUAAACCACUCAUCGAAUCAAUGAUUUACCAGAGGAUCUUCACAACAAGUGAAGGGAUCCAGAGAACUUGAGCUGACGAGGCCGACAAGGCUGAUUGCAGUUUCAAAACCUAAAAGCCUCUUUACAUUGUCAAUGUGCUGAUCAAUGGCAAGAUUUUUGCAAAACGGUGAUGAAACAUCAGCACAUGAUAGUGUGGUUCAGGCUCUGGAUUAACUGCCAUUGCCUGUGCAUCUCUUGUUACUUGAAGGAUACCAUUGAUCUUUGAAGAGAAAGAGGGAUAAAGAAUAUGACGUAGAAAUUGGAUUAGUGAUUUACCAGUAUUCUUGCUACUGAGGUUCCAUAUAUAUGUAAUUUGUAAUUCAGAGAUCAAUAGAUCAAUGAGAACUACUUUAUUUCAAACCAAUUGUAACGAAUUUUGUUAA